rnacentral:tRNA from 1 species
GGAUAGCUCAGUGGGCUAGAGCGUGGUGCUGAUAAUGCAACGGUUGCAGGUUCGAUCCCUGUAUGGGACA